ACCCUUCUGAAAAAGCACUCGCCGGGUCUGCACGCAGUGGCUCAGCGAGUUGUCGUGGAAGGGCAGAACGAAGGCACCGCUUUUGGGUGAAGCGGCAGCCUGUGCUGUUCGUUUCAAUCAGCGGUGUGACAGUC
rnacentral:snoRNA from 1 species